rnacentral:rRNA from 1 species
AUUGAACGCUGGCGGCAGGCCUAACACAUGCAAGUCGAACGAGUGGCGGACGGGUGAGUAAUGUCUGGGAAACUGCCCGAUGGAGGGGGCUAACUACUGGAAACGGUAGCUAAUACCGCAUACCAUCGGAUCUGCCCAGAUGGGAUUAGCUAGUAGGUGGGGUAACGGCUCACCUAGGCGACGAUCCCUAGCUGGUCUGAGAGGAUGACCGGCAACACGGGAACUGAGACACGGGCCAGACUCCUACGGGAGGCAGCAGGGGGGAAUAUUGCGCAAUGGGCGCAAGCCUGAUCCAGCCAUGCCGCGUGUAUGAAGAAGGCCUUCGGGUUGUAAAGUACUUUCAUCGAGGAGGCGUUACUCACAGAGGAAGCACCGGCUAACUCCGUGCCAGCCGCCGCGGUAAUAC